CCUACGGGAGGCAGCAGUGGGGAAUAUUGCACAAUGGGCGCAAGCCUGAUCCAGCCAUGCCGCGUGUAUGAAGAAGGUCUUCGGAUUGUAAAGCACUUUAAGGCUUGGGAGGAAGGGCCAUUACCUAAUCUUUGAUCCUAAAGACGUUACCGCAGAAUAAGC
rnacentral:rRNA from 1 species